rnacentral:rRNA from 1 species
UGAGUUAGUGGCGGACGGGUGAGUAACGCGUGGAAAACCUGCCGUAUACUGGGGGGUAACACUUAGAAAUAGGUGCUAAUACCGCAUAAGCGCACAGCUUCGCAUGAAGCGGUGUGAAAAACUCUGGUGGUAUACGAUGGUUCCGCGUCUGAUUAGCUAGUUGGUGGGGUAAUGGCCUACCAAGGCAACGAUCAGUAGCCGGCCUGGGAGGGUGAACGGCCACAUUGGGACUGAGACACGGCCCAAACUCCUACGGGAGGCAGCAG